rnacentral:rRNA from 1 species
GACGAACGCUGGCGGCGUGCCUAAUACAUGCAAGUCGAGCGAGCUUGCCUAGAUGAAUUUGGUGCUUGCACCAGAUGAAACUAGAUACAAGCGAGCGGCGGACGGGUGAGUAACACGUGGGUAACCUGCCCAAGAGACUGGGAUAACACCUGGAAACAGAUGCUAAUACCGGAUAACAACACUAGACGCAUGUCUAGAGUUUAAAAGAUGGUUCUGCUAUCACUCUUGGAUGGACCUGCGGUGCAUUAGCUAGUUGGUAAGGUAACGGCUUACCAAGGCAAUGAUGCAUAGCCGAGUUGAGAGACUGAUCGGCCACAUUGGGACUGAGACACGGCCCAAACUCCUACGGGAGGCAGCAGUAGGGAAUCUUCCACAAUGGACGCAAGUCUGAUGGAGCAACGCCGCGUGAGUGAAGAAGGGUUUCGGCUCGUAAAGCUCUGUUGGUAGUGAAGAAAGAUAGAGGUAGUAACUGGCCUUUAUUUGACGGUAAUUACU